rnacentral:rRNA from 1 species
AUUGAACGCUGGCGGCAUGCUUUACACAUGCAAGUCGAACGGUAACAGGCCGCAAUGUGCUGCUGAGUGGCGAACGGGCGAGUAAUGCACCGGAACGUGCCCAGUCGUGGGGGCUAACUACUCGAAAGGGUAGCUAAUACCGCACACGAUACAUGGAUGAAAGGCGGGGUCCGCAAGGCCCAGUGAGUUCGGUCCGGCAAAAGCCCGCUUAGUAAGUUGGUGGGGUAAAGGCUCACCAAGCCAACGGACUGGACCGGGUCUCGGCGGACGACCAUCCACCCUGGAACUGAGACGCGGCCCAGACUCCUACGGAAGGCAGCAGUGGGGAAUUUUGGGCAAUGGGGGCAAACCUGAUCCAGCAAUGCCGCGUGCAGGGCGAAGGCCUUGGGGUUGUAAACUGCUCUUUUACGGAGCGAACCGGCUCUGGUUAAUACGCGGGGAUAAUGACGGUACCGGAAGAAUAAGCACCGGCUAACUACGUG